GGGAUGAUCUCCCAACACAAAAUCAUUUUCUGUUUUAGUCCAUUUUCUGUCUCUGUAACAGAAUGCCUGUGACCAGAUAUCUCGUAUAGGGACCACUAAAGCAGCUAGGAGUACCAUGUCCUGGGCUCUUGCUGUUCAGCUUGUAUAUUUCAGAUGAUGUGUCUGGAGAAGCUGAAAACACAACCAAACUAAAACCAAGUCCUUGGAUUUAGUGAAACCAAAUUCUGGCUCAAAGACAGUCUUUGAGGCUUCCAGACCAAGCAAAUGAAAGAAGCCAUGAGACGUAAAGGACUCAGGCCUAAAGCUCUUCAAUGAGUGUGGCUCUUGUCUGCCCUUUUCUCCAGUGCCAAGUUUUCAGCUGAGUUCUUCAGGAUUCUGGUCUCCAAGUUGAGAGGUCCUACACUGGUAUCACAGAAGCCAGGGCUGCGUUGUUGUCUUCUGCCAGUGGAACCACGAGCUCAAGCUUCAGCUAUGCCUCUUUUCACAAAGAUAGCCUGGCAGCUGGUUUUCAUGAGGCAGGAUCAAGACCACAGACAAUUUAUUAUGAGAGACAUGGGUGAAGAACGACCAAGGGACGUUAUGGCUAUGAGUGACAUGGAAUUAGAUGAAGAGGCUCAAGUUUGCUGAAGAGAGUUUAAAUUUGGCUUUUGCUCUCGGAAACGUCAAAAUAAUCAUAAGGAGCACUUGUGCCUUACAGAGCAAAUAAUCCACAGUGUCAAUUUCAUUUUGCAAACAGUGUCACAACAGCAGUCAACAGAAGCCUAGAGAGUUAACAUACAGGUUUGGUAAGAUAUAACAAGGGAUUGUGCAUGCUGGUGGUUAAGUCAGGUCCACAAUGAACCCAUGACCUACUUGGAGGUUUAUGUGGCAGCUGGGGAGAACAGCUUUCCACACAGAACAACACGAGACAACAGGAAGAGCAGACUCUGCUGGGCGACUAUAAUGAUCAUCUGCAGUAAGGCUUUCAAGAUACAGGAGUUUUUAUAGCAUUUGUAUUUUAAGGAUUUAGGGCAAAUACAUUUUUUUUCUACUUGAUAAAAAGAAAAUUAGUACUUAAAAGGUUCAAAAAUAUAUUGAUUGAGUGCUUCUUUUACAUAAAUAAAUUAUAUUGAUUUUUAGGAUUUAACAGCUGAAAAACCCUUUCUGCUUCCACUGGAGGCAAAACUGAACAGAAUGUUAGUUCAAUAGCGAGCAGCAUUUCUAAGAAAUCUGUUGUCAGCAUCACAGACCUUCUAUACUACAAACACAUCAUUAAAUAGCAUUUAUUCAGUUCUUGGAUUCUUCUUUCUUAUAGAUCAGUUAUAGAAUUUCUAGUUUAUAUCUAUGAUUCAUAAAACCGGGACUCUCCUUUUUGAAAAUA